rnacentral:rRNA from 1 species
AUGUCCUCUCUAUUUUCUGUUUGCUUUCUUGUUGCCAUGGCCGAAUCAAAAAGAACAAAGGGUCCUUUCCAGCGUUCUAGUACCUUGGAUAACCCCUCUAUCCUCUCUAAGCUCAUAAAUAAUGAUGCUAUGGAAAUACCCACCGGGGUCACGGAUGAGAGCUCAAAUAAUUUUGAUGAAGAUGACUUCAGAAUUUUUCGCUAUUGGCUUGAUGAGUCUUUAAAAGAUGCUUGGGAUAGGUUAUUAAGGAUUCGGGCUAGCUAUGUGCCACAAUAUCAAAUUGAAGUUUACCCAAAGAGUUUCUAUGUUAGCCUACCCGCUUGUUUCAAGAAAGUUCUAGAUUCUAUUUUUGAAGAAGGUUUUCUUAAUGGGGAUGCUAUAGAUACUUAUGAAAAAAUGGAAACUAUAUUUGGGCACCCUAUGAAUGAUAAGGUUGAAUCUACCACUCUCUUAUGCUUUUAUCAAAAUGAAAUUAUCAAAGAGAUGAAGUCUAGCUUAGAUGCAAAUUUCUGCAAUGUGCUUAAUAUUACUUCAUCCAUUAAUGGCAAUGUGCUUUCCCUAAAUAGAAGAAUGAAUGCCAUGGAAAGGAAAUCCUCUUUUUCCUUUCCAAGUGCCAAAGAUGGCACUACUUAG